GACGAACGCUGGCGGCGUGCCUAAUACAUGCAAGUAGAACGCUGAAGGAGGAGCUUGCUCUUCUGGAUGAGUUGCGAACGGGUGAGUAACGCGUAGGUAACCUGCCUGGUAGCGGGGGAUAACUAUUGGAAACGAUAGCUAAUACCGCAUAACAGUAGAUGUUGCAUGACAUUUGCUUAAAAGGUGCAAUUGCUCCACUACCAGAUGGACCUGCGUUGUAUUAGCUAGUUGGUGGGGUAACGGCUCACCAAGGCGACGAUACAUAGCCGACCUGAGAGGGUGAUCGGCCACACUGGGACUGAGACACGGCCCAGACUCCUACGGGAGGCAGCAGUAGGGAAUCUUCGGCAAUGGACGGAAGUCUGACCGAGCAACGCCGCGUGAGUGAAGAAGGUUUUCGGAUCGUAAAGCUCUGUUGUAAGAGAAGAACGAGUGUGAGAGUGGAAAGUUCACACUGUGACGGUAUCUUACCAGAAAGGGACGGCUAACUACGUG
rnacentral:rRNA from 1 species